rnacentral:rRNA from 1 species
CCCUUAGAUGUUCUGGGCCGCACGCGUGCUACACUGAGUGGAUCAGCGGGUCAGGUUGCGCGAAAGUGUUUCCUAAUCUUGAAAUCCGCUCGUGAUGGGGAUUGACGGUUGCAAUUUUCCGUCAUGAACGAGGAAUACCUUGUAAGCGCGGGUCAUCAGCUCGCGUUGAUUACGUCCCUGCCCUUUGUACACACCGCCCGUCGCUACUACCGAUUGAAUGGUUUAGUGAGGACUCCUGAUUGGCGCCGCCGCCCCGGCAACGGAGCAGCGGACUGCCGAAAAGUUGUUCAAACUUGAUCAUUUAGAGGAAGUAAAAGUCGUAACA